UUGAAACAAGAAAUAUUAUAUAGUUUGGUGGACGCAGUGUGGACAUUACAAAUGACAAAAACGGCGCCGGAGCGGCAGCAUGUGGCGGACGCUGUGAACGCUGCUGGUCGGAACCUCGAAGAAGAAAAAGUGGUCCGACAAAAAGGAGCCUCUUACACAGACAAAGUGUUUGUGUCACGGCGGGGGAUAAGGGGACACCGGAGCUCAACCCCCUUGAUGAGCCCUUGAUGAGCGGCUUGCCGGUAUUAUAGCUUUUGGCCUUUCUAGGGACUUUUUCCUAGCCACCAUGCUUCUACACACACUCCUGUACAGCACUUUGAGAUAUCAGCUGAUGUACGAAGGGCUUUAUAAAUACAUUUGAUUUGUUAGCUGAAUCCCUCCUGAGUGAAUAGUUACGGAGGUGGAAGGGGACACGGACAUGCAAGACGCACCGGAUGAUCCAGUAGCGAAGUGUUCCAGCGGGGUGGGUGGUGCUGCAGCUGAGCAGGAGCGGCGUUCGCGGAACCCCGGCGUCUCCACUUAACCUCGUGCGUCACAACCCUCCAGCGCCGUGUCCUCAGAUGCAGUCCUGGAAACGCAAAGAGACACAAUCGAUGCUAUUAACGAGGUUGCCAAUGAGUUGGUGGAAAUGUUGUGUGACAUAAGCUGUACUUUGAAAUAAUUACUCAAUAAAUAGUGUUUGUUUUCA